AUGCAGCCGGAGCAGCGCGGCGGCGCAAACGCAGUCGGCGCAGCCGUUAAAGUUAACGGCGUCGCGGACCUCCUGCCGUUCCUGCUCGGCGUCCCCGUCACGUACCGCUUCGCCAAGCACAACGCUACUAAGGAGGGAUUCGUCGUCGAACGCGGCUACGCCUGCGCCUGCGACUCGUCCUGCGGCUAUCGCCGCGGCGGCAAGGCCUUGUCGGCGGUGGAGUUCGAGAAGCACGCGGGGGCGAAAUCGAAGAACCAGAACGGCCACAUCUUCCUCCCCAACGGCACCUCGCUCUACGACCUCUUCCACACGCUCAGGGAGGUGCCCCCCGAGAGAUUCCCAGCGGCUUUCUGUGAGGCCGCCGGGGUGCCAAUGACGGUGCCCGCCGCCGCCGCCACCUGUCCGCCCCUUGCGCAGGGUCAGCCGGCAAGCAGGGAGCCGGAAUUGCUGCAGGCUAGCGACGUGAUGGCGGAGCAGCCUGCUUGGGCUGCGCCGGCGCAGCAGGCUUUCAACUUCGAUAUUACGAGCGAAGAGGCGAAUGCCGGCUUGUCUCUUCUUGACUUGAGGGGAAAUAAUCCAGCCACCGAAGCGGAACCUAUGGAUGGAAUUGAAUGGCCUUCUAUGGAACACAGCUUGAGUUUGAUAGACGCCGCAGAACAGAUUGAGAAUGCAGCCCGUGGUGACCAUGAGAUGCCUGAUGUGGUCGAGGUAAGGAUUGCAACUGGUGAUCGACCUAGGGAUAUUGGCUUGUCGACAGCCACCCAUGUGAAAGUGAAAGUGAUGGAAACGAAGUAUCAGUCAGUGCGAACAUCAGAAACCAAGUACAAGCCAGAGAGUUUACUUAAGGAUGUCAGAGGAUUGCUGUCCACUGGGCUUCUUGAAGGUUUCAGGGUGACCUACAAGAAGAAUGGGGUGGAGCUGACUGGGCGUAUAGACGGGCAGAGAUAUUCCUGUGGUUGUAUGCAAUGUGAUUACAGUAAUAUAAUGAAUGCAUGUGAGUUUGAGCAACAUGCUGGCCAGUUAACAAACAACCAAAAUGAUCAUAUAUUUUUGGACUGUGGAAUUUCGCUGUAUAAGUUGAUACAAGUACUUAAAUAUAAAAGACUUGACUUGCUUGGGGACCUGAUUGAAGAACAGACUGGCCUCACUCCAAAUCUGAUUGAAUAUGGAAAGUGGAAAGCUUCUUUUCAAGUGGAAAAUAAUGGUUUUGUUGAUGCGCCUUCACAUCCUUGUUCAACUCAACGUUUGCAGGAGUCAGCUGCAGGAGUGACAAGCCAUAGAACUUUAGCCACUACUUCGGCAAAUUCCUUGAAAAAAUCUACUAGCAAUCACAUCUCAAACCUGAGCUGGAGUGCAUUCAGGAGGCCACGGUGGCAAUAUAAGCGAGGAAGUACUCAAACUUCGGCUCCAACCUUGAGUAAAAGCCCUGAGAAAGGAACUUCGGGUCUAUCUACAUGCACUUCAAUGAAAAGUGUCACUGUAGAAAUUCCUAGUGAGAACAUUGCAGAUCCUCUUAGUCCUGAGGAUAUAAAGCCUAAUUUGGCAGCAGAUACUGCAGUAAUAUCGACCUCAUCAGAGUGUGAUCCCAUAGAUCUAGCAUUUUCUUUAUCAAGCCCAGUUUCAAUUGUUCAAGAGCCACCUGUGAGUCACCACAUGGACUCAAAGACGAAAGAACCGCGGCGAACAAAAGCGAGGGAUAACUCCUUGCACCCGCUGGUUUUCAAGGAAGGCGGCCUUCCAGACCUUACUUUGUUGACUUACAAGUUGAAGCACGGAGAGGUUCUAAAGCAAGGCUAUAAACGGGGGGCAGGUAUAGUCUGUGAUUGCUGCAAUGAAGAGCUUACUCCUUCACAGUUUGAAGACCAUGCUGGAAUGGGGAAAAGACGACAACCGUAUCGUAACAUUUAUACCUCAGAAGGAUUGACACUUCAUGAGCUGGCACUAAAACUGCAAGACAGUUUAAAUUCAAAUGGAGUCAGCAGCAUUGAUUUCUCUGACAUUGAUGACCCUCAUAACAUUGCUACUUCAGGUUGUAGGAAAGAACCUUCUACCGCCAGUAGACCUCUCAUUGUUCCAUUGAAACGGACAUUACAAGGAAGAGUUGUUGAUGCUGAGAGCUGUCAUUUAUGUGGCGAUGCCUGUACGACUAUUGGGGUAAUCAGCGAAGACAUGAUUAUCUUCUGUAACCAGUGUGAGAGACCAUGCCAUGUGAAAUGCUACAAUAGUGGAUUCCAAGAAAACAAUGAACCUCUGAAUGUUUUGAGAGAAUAUAUGCAAUGUCACUUCUUCUGCUGUAAAAAAUGUCAGUUACUUCGUGCUUCUUUGCACCAAGAACUAAAUAAGCGGGAAAAGAUCAGACAUAAAAGAUCCAAUGUUUGUUGGCAUCUUUUAAGUGGAAUGAAUCCGAGGCGUGAUGUGCAGCAGUUCAUAGAUCAGGUUAUUGGAAUCUUCAAAGUUGCGUUCCCGGAAACAUCUGACCCGGAAAGUGAUAUCAGACGAGAUAUGGUUAUUGCCACGGAUGUAGGAGGAAAAAAUGAUUUUAGAGGAAUGUAUUGUGCACUACUAACCACAAGCAGUAAACUUGUUGUGUCAGCUGCGAUUCUGAAAGUGCGCACGGAAGAAGUUGCAGAACUUGUCCUUGUCGCUACACAUAAUGAGUGCAGAAAAAAGGGCUACUUCAGACUUCUCUUGAGACAAAUCGAAACACAUCUGACAGCCCUGAAUGUUCAGUUUCUUAUGGCGCCCGUUGAUCCUGAAAUGGUACCAAUCUGGUCCAAGAAACUUGGCUUCACCAUUUUAUCAGAUCAAGAGAAGUCGUCACUGCUAGAGGCACACCCCUUGGUGAUGUUCGAGGGCCUAACAUUGAUGCAGAAAUCAUUAGCUGUCAAGCCUGAUCUCAAGGGUUUGAGUAACCAAGUUACAAUGGGAGAACCGAGUGCACCUGAUCUUGAGAUUUUGAGUAACCAAGUUACAAUGGGAGAACCGUGUGCACCUGAUCUCGAGAUUUUGAGUAACCAAGUUACAAUGGGAGAACCGAGUGCAUAG
rnacentral:rRNA from 1 species